rnacentral:rRNA from 1 species
AUUGAACGCUGGCGGCAGGCCUAACACAUGCAAGUCGAACGAGUGGCGGACGGGUGAGUAAUGUCUGGGAAACUGCCCGAUGGAGGGGGAUAACUACUGGAAACGGUAGCUAAUACCGCAUACCAUCGGAUGUGCCCAGAUGGGAUUAGCUAGUAGGUGGGGUAACGGCUCACCUAGGCGACGAUCCCUAGCUGGUCUGAGAGGAUGACAAGAAAAAAGGGAACUGAGACACGGCCCAGACUGCGACGGGAGGAAGCAGUGGGGAAGAGUGCACAAUGGGCGAAAGCCUGAGGCAGCCAUGCCGCGUGGAGGAAGAAGGCCUGCGGGUUGUAAAGUACUGUAGGCGAGGAGGCGUUACUCGCAGAAGAAGCACCGGCUAACUACGUGCCAGCAGCCGCGGUAAUAC